CCCCGUGUGGCCCAGUUGGUAGAGCAUGGUGUUUGCAACGCCAGGGUUGUGGAUUCGAUUCCCACGGGGA
rnacentral:tRNA from 1 species